rnacentral:tRNA from 1 species
GGAACAGUAAGCAUAAUUGGUACUGCGGUGGAUUGCUAAUCCAUUCCACGCUGCAUAGAGUGGUGUCGGUUCAAGUCCGGCUUGUUCCGCCA